UACAGAGGGUGCAAGCGUUAAUCGGAAUUACUGGGCGUAAAGCGUGCGUAGACGGUUAUGUAAGUCAGGUGUGAAAGCCCCGGGCUCAACCUGGGAAUGGCAUUUGAGACUGCAUAGCUAGGGUGCGGUAGAGGGAAGCGGAAUUUCCGGUGUAGCGGUGAAAUGCGUAGAUAUCGGAAGGAACAUCAGUGGCGAAAGCGGCUUCCUGGACCAGCACCGACGUUCAGGCACGAAAGCGUGGGGAGCAAACAGG
rnacentral:rRNA from 1 species